GCCUAUCAUUAGGAACGAAACCUAUUCCUGUUCGUUCGAACCAAUUGGAGAAAUAUUAUUUGUCCUACCUUUCUAUCUCCCUCUCUCUCUCCCCCCCCCUCUCUCUCACUCAUUUCUUCUGUCCAAGUAAACAAAUGAAUUUAUAAACAGAACGACCUAUUUAAUCUAAUUCGGCCUCGAGCAUCCGAACAGACGACAUCGUUUCGAAUCCGAAGAAAAAGGAACACACGAAGAGGAGGUGUAUCAACUGGCGCGUUACCUUCGAAGGGUAGAAAGAUAUGCCAGGAGGAGGAGGAGGAGGAGGAGGAGGAGAAGGAGAUGGAGGACAAUAUAAAAAGUGGGAGAGAUAGUCGCGUAUCGAAACCGCAGAAUAAAUGGAUUCUCCGAACUCGUCGAUGAGUCCGAUAAUGGAAGGAAGAGGAAGAGGAUUAAAUGCACUAGAGGAAUAGGAAGAGCAAGAGGAGGAGGAGGAGGAGGAGGAGAAGGUGAAAGAGGAGAAGUUAUCACCAAACGAUCUUUCACGAACGAAUUAGCUACGAAAUAAUCGACAAGGGGAGAACCGAUCUUCUAGGAUAAUUGCUAAAUUUAUUAUGGCACGAACGAGAAUCGAUUAUAAUUAAAAUCAAUUUCUGCGGUCUACCGUAUGUAUGUAAGUCCUAAGUAAUAUGUAUUAUCCUAUUUAGUCCGGCAGUUAUGCUAUGUAAUAAUUUCCGUUUGAUUAUUAACGAAACCACAUGUUAAUUGACAUUUUCAAAAUGUAGUACGAAGAUCAUCACGUACGUACGUACGUAACUAUGUACACAUUAUGUACGUACGUACAUAAGUUUACUCAUAAUGAAAAUAAGAAAAUUAUUAUCCUUCGUAAACGAUAAAAUGUAUUUCUAUAUAAAUUGCUUUCGUCGUUUCAAUAAAAACACGAAAGUCACGUUUAUUUCUCUCGAGAGAAAUCGUACCUUAUUAAUUAAUAAAUAUUAUUUGAGAAAUCUAUGCCGCACCAUAUGUCUACUAUUAUCCAUAAGAGUCUUCGUCUUGCAGGUGUUAUUAGUAAAAGGAACGUAAAUCUAAUAUAAUGUACGCCAAGGAAAUUCUAUUUUCGUCUAACUAAGCAAACUGCUUUUAAUAAAAUAUUCGAUCGAUAAUAUACUUUACGUGACUUUUCUUAUCCGAGUCACGUUUUAAUCAUCUCUCUCUCUCUCUUUCUCUCUCUCUCUCUAUCUCUAUCUCUAUCUUUUUCUCAUAUACACGAUGAAAAUAAUUAAACGUGACAUGACAUAAAACGGAACGAAUUGCGGUAGUUCUAACGGUAAACGAUUAAAAUACAAUAACGGAGUAUUUCAUGAUUUUGUUAGAAAUCUCUAGCCACGUUUUCCUCCUGAUAUCAAAUUAAAAUUAAGUAUUGUGUUCUACUAAGAAGAAGACGAAAGAGAAAGAUAGAGAGAGUGAGAGAGAAAGAGAGAGAAAUUCGCAGUGACGGGAUCUAAAAUUAUACGCGGUGAAAAUCUCACCGAGAGAUUUCGUCGUCCUCACGACACUUAUUUACACGUUACACAUGCAACCAUUGUAAACGCGCGUACAUUCUAUAUCCAUUCGUAAACGAGAAUUUAUAAGCCAUUUGAAUUAUAUUUAAUUACGGGGAAAAA